UACAUGGGGUGCAACCGUUGCUCGGAAUCAUUGGGCGUAAAGCGCGCGUAGGCGGUUACUUAAGUUGGAUGUGAAAGCCCUCGGCUUAACUGAGGAAGUGCAUCCAAAACUGAGUAGCUAGAGUACGAAAGAGGGUCGCGGAAUUCCCGGUGUAGAGGUGAAAUUCGUAGAUAUCGGGAGGAACACCGGUGGCGAAGGCGGCGACCUGGGUCGAGACUGACGCUGAGGCGCGAAAGCGUGGGGAGCAAACAGG
rnacentral:rRNA from 1 species